rnacentral:rRNA from 1 species
CCUACGGGGGGCAGCAGUAGGGAAUAUUGCUCAAUGGGCGAAACCCUGAAGCAGCAACGCCGCGUGGAGGAUGAAGGUUUUCGGAUUGUAAACUCCUUUUGUAAGAGAAGAUAAUGAGGGUAUCUAACUAAUAAGCACCGGCGAACUCCGUGUCAGCAGCCGCGGGAUAACGGAGGGUGAGAGCGCUACUCGGAAAUACUGUGCGAAAAGAGCGCGUAGGCGGGAGAGCAAGUACCAUGGUUAAUCCCAUGGCUUAAACACCGAACUGCAUUUGAUACUGUUAUUCUAGAGGAUGGGAGAGGUAAGCGGAAUUCCUUGUGUAGGGGUAAAAUGCGUAGAGAUAAGGAAGAAUACUCAUGGCGAAGGCG